CGAGUGGCCUAGGCUAGUGACUCC
rnacentral:snRNA from 1 species